UACAGAGGUGGCAAGCGUUGUUCGGAAUUACUGGGCGUAAAGGGCGCGUAGGCGGCCUUCUAAGUCAGACGUGAAAUCCCCAGGCUUAACUUGGGAACUGCGUCUGAUACUGGAUGGCUUGAGUGCGGGAGAGGGAUGUGGAAUUCCAGGUGUAGCGGUGAAAUGCGUAGAUAUCUGGAGGAACACCGGUGGCGAAGGCGGCAUCCUGGACCGACACUGACGCUGAUGCGCGAAAGCCAGGGGAGCAAACGGG
rnacentral:rRNA from 1 species